rnacentral:rRNA from 1 species
UACGAAGGGGGCUAGCGUUGCUCGGAAUCACUGGGCGUAAAGCGCACGUAGGCGGAUUGUUAAGUCAGGGGUGAAAUCCUGGAGCUCAACUCCAGAACUGCCUUUGAUACUGGCGAUCUCGAGUCCGGGAGAGGUGAGUGGAACUGCGAGUGUAGAGGUGAAAUUCGUAGAUAUUCGCAAGAACACCAGUGGCGAAGGCGGCUCACUGGCCCGCUACUGACGCUGAGGUGCGAAAGCGUGGGGAGCGAACAGG